rnacentral:lncRNA from 1 species
GUCCAGGAACGAUUUUGAUAGAUCAUGACUAUCCACGUAACUACCAAAAGUCGAUGUGGACUGACGUGGACAGGUGAAAAGAAAAAUAAAGGAAAAGCACACAAUAAAUCGAUUAUAAAUAGAGGGAUAGUACGUACAAAUUCAGUUAUAAGACGAACUGCAACAUGUAAGAAUCCAUUUAUAUAACAAAUAUUAAAUUAAUUUCAUCAAAGAGUCAUUACAACAAAAGCAGUUUCGUCGAGAAGAUUCAGAUCAUCAGAAGAGAGAAAACGGGGACAGCUUGGUUCGUUUGGCAAGACUCUAGCUACCAGCUGCUGCUCCUGCAAGACAGAGAAAACAGGU